GCAAGUUUUCAUAACUGUUUAUUCAUUAUAAAUAGUAAAUAUUUACUGCACUUUUUUACAGGAAAGACAUUUUUACAACACAUCGUUGUUGGUUGAGGCUGCAACACGAAGAUAGCUCUUCUCUCGAUCCAUCACCCCCUAAGACCAACGUAGGAACUAAACUCAGUACUAUGUCUAGUCUCGCUAACUCACUACAUCAUAGUUUUUAACUCUAAAAGGAAUGUAUUUGUGCCUACCUCAUUCAUGGUUCCAAGAAUAGAAAGAAAUAAAUAACACUGCCUUCCACCGUCCUGUUCCUCUGAACAUCUCAAAAACAAAUUUAUUGACAUUCUAAAAUGUCACCACACAAACAUAUGUAAACCUCAGUUCCUAUCACCUUUCCAUAUUGGAUAUUAUUGUAUAAUUUAAAAGUACAUGAGAGCCAACAUGGACAUCGGUAUUGCUGCCCUGCCUUUCAUAGAAAAGACAAGAAUGUAAACGUAGUCAUUUAAAAAGGAUUAUUCUCGAACAUGUUCUCUCAUCAAAAGGGGCAAGCCGGGUGUUGGUUGUCCAGCAAAUGGCAAACGUCACUGCAUUCUACCACAAUGAAUCAUGGGCUGCGAAAAAUAAAGCACCUGCAAAAAUAGAAUUCUGCUUCUGUUUCUAGGGCCCUGGACUUUGC
rnacentral:lncRNA from 1 species